rnacentral:rRNA from 1 species
CCAACGGGGAUUCCCCUAGUAGCGGCGAGCGAAGCGGGAAGAGCUCAAAUUUAUAAUCUGGCACCUUCGGUGUCCGAGUUGUAAUCUCUAGAAAUGUUUUCCGCGUUGGACCGCACACAAGUCUGUUGGAAUACAGCGGCAUAGUGGUGAGACCCCCGUAUAUGGUGCGGACGCCCAGCGCUUUGUGAUACAUUUUCGAAGAGUCGAGUUGUUUGGGAAUGCAGCUCAAAUUGGGUGGUAAAUUCCAUCUAAAGCUAAAUAUUGGCGAGAGACCGAUAGCGAACAAGUACCGUGAGGGAAAGAUGAAAAGCACUUUGGAAAGAGAGUUAACAGUACGUGAAAUUGUUGGAAGGGAAACGCUUGAAGUCAGACUUGCUUGCCGAGCAAUCGGUUUGCAGGCCAGCAUCAGUUUUCCGGGAUGGAUAAUGGUAGAGAGAAGGUAGCAGUUUCGGCUGUGUUAUAGCUCUCUGCUGGAUACAUCUUGGGGGACUGAGGAACGCAGUGUGCCUUUGGCGGGGGUUUCGACCUCUUCACACUUAGGAUGCUGGUGGAAUGGCUUUAAACGACCCGUCUUAAAAAGGGGGGACAAAAAAAAGUA